AGAUGGUGUCUGUUCUAAACCUGCAAAAUGUACAUAUGAACCUGAAGUUUGAGUUGAUCCUACUCCUCAUCCAUAGAAAAUCUUUAUAAGUGAAACGAAUUUGCCUACUUUGCUUUUUUACCACAAAACCAGCAAAUGAUAAUGGAAAUGGACACCUGCCAUCAGAAAUAAAAAACAGAAAUAAGGACAUUCAGUUCCCAAAAAUACUUUUGUUUAAUGUAACCAGAAAUUUUCUUGGACAUGUGUUGAACAAAAGCAAACUUCUGUAAUGCAUGUUGUGAAAUGACCGUGUAUUUAUUGAUAUGGUAGUAAUAAUAGAUAUAAGAUUAAAAUUAGUAAAUGUUUACCACUAAA